UACGAAGGGGGCUAGCGUUGCUCGGAAUCACUGGGCGUAAAGCGCACGUAGGCGGAUUGCUAAGUCAGGGGUGAAAUCCUGGAGCUCAACUCCAGAACUGCCUUUGAUACUGGCGACCUUGAGUCCGGGAGAGGUGAGUGGAACUGCGAGUGUAGAGGUGAAAUUCGUAGAUAUUCGCAAGAACACCAGUGGCGAAGGCGGCUCACUGGCCCGGUACUGACGCUCAUGCACGAAAGCGUGGGGAGCAAACAGG
rnacentral:rRNA from 1 species